rnacentral:tRNA from 1 species
CGGGAUGUAGCUUAGCUUGGUAGAGCGCUUGGUUUGGGACCAAGAGGUCGAAGGUUCAAAUCCUUUCAUCCCGACCA